AGUGAACGCUGGCGGUAGGCCUAACACAUGCAAGUCGAACGGCAGCACAGUAAGAGCUUGCUCUUACGGGUGGCGAGUGGCGGACGGGUGAGGAAUACAUCGGAAUCUACUUUUUCGUGGGGGAUAACGUAGGGAAACUUACGCUAAUACCGCAUACGACCUACGGGUGAAAGCAGGGGAUCUUCGGACCUUGCGCGAUUGAAUGAGCCGAUGUCGAAUUAGCUAGUUGGCGGGGUAAAGGCCCACCAAGGCGACGAUCCGUAGCUGGUCUGAGAGGAUGAUCAGCCACACUGGAACUGAGACACGGUCCAGACUCCUACGGGAGGCAGCAGUGGGGAAUAUUGGACAAUGGGCGCAAGCCUGAUCCAGCCAUACCGCGUGGGUGAAGAAGGUCUUCGGGUUGUAAAGCCCUUUUGUUGGGAAAGAAAAGCAGCAGGUUAAUACCCCGCUGCUCUGACGGUACCCAAAGAAUAAGCACCGGCUAACUUCGUG
rnacentral:rRNA from 1 species